AACGAACGCUGGCGGCAUGCCUAACACAUGCAAGUCGAACGAGACCUUCGGGUCUAGUGGCGCAAGGGUGCGUAACGCGUGGGAACCUGCCCUUAGGUUCGGAAUAACUACCCGAAAGGGGUGCUAAUACCGGAUAAUGUCUUCGGACCAAAGAUUUAUCACCUUUGGAUGGGCCCGCGUUGGAUUAGCUAGUUGGUAGGGUAAAAGCCUACCAAGGCGACGAUCCAUAGCUGGUCUGAGAGGAUGAUCAGCCACACUGGGACUGAGACACGGCCCAGACUCCUACGGGAGGCAGCAGUGGGGAAUAUUGGACAAUGGGCGAAAGCCUGAUCCAGCAAUGCCGCGUGAGUGAUGAAGGCCUUAGGGUUGUAAAGCUCUUUUACCCGGGAUGAUAAUGACAGUACCGGGAGAAUAAGCUCCGGCUAACUCCGUG
rnacentral:rRNA from 1 species